ACAGCUUUUAACAUUUUUUGAUAAUCUGUACCUAUCUGUAUCCAAAUCUAUACUGACUUAUAAAUAUAAUUUUUAUUAAUGAAUAUUAUUAUUUAUUAAUAAAUUGGUAUUCAUAAUACCAAUUGGCAAAAAAUCUUUUAAACAAAAUUAAAAACCUAGGUAAGUUUACAAAAUAUAAUUAUUUAAUUUGGUUUAUCAAUUAAAUUGUUUUGUUACUUGAACUUUUGCAUGUUGAUUUGACCUGCGACCAGUAUCGCAGGAACAUAAUUUUAGUAUAACAAAGAAAUCAAGAAAAUUAUUUUGCGCACCAUUUAAUUUAAAUUGAUUCUUAAAAGAAGCCGAUAUCUAAAGCAAUAAUAAACAUGUUUUGCAUGCAUUUCGCCUAUACAUAUAUUGGAACAGGCAAUAACAAAACACUCAGAUAAAAUAGUUAAAAUGAAGUGUUCAGCAUUAUUUUCCUCAGAUUGGUGUAAGAUAAUAAUUUCGAUAGUAGUGAUACAAUGCUUAGUUUAUUGCAUUGCUGACGAGCUCCCGGAUCCUAGAAGACUCAAUACCAAUGAAGUAGAGCGAAUAAUGUCGGAUAAUACACCUGUUGCUCUUGUCUUUUUAGAGGCCUGGGUGUCUAGUAACCUCGGUAGUUCUUGGUGGCAUUUUUUGUACACAGGAACUGGAACUGAGAUACCAACGUUAGGAAAUAUGGGCCGACAUAAAAAUAUAAUAAUUCAAGCACUUCCAGAAAAUGCCAAAUUUACGAGCAUAGUACUGCUUGAAAGAACUAGAACGUCUCGCUAUCAGGUGACUGUCCAAAAAGUUACCAGACGUAAGUGGUUAACUUGGUUCUAUCGACGGAAAGAGAAAGACAAAGCUGUAUCCUCGAAGUAUCUAAAAACUCUUGAAAUCGCCAUCCAUAAUAAUAACAUAACAAAUAAAUAAAUAAAAACAUGUUUGUAUUUAAUAUUUAUUAAUAAAAAAGUACAUAAUAUAA